rnacentral:rRNA from 1 species
GUCUGCGGCGUAUCAGGUUGUAGUGGGGUGUAAAGUACCCCCUUUCCCUUAUACGCGUAAGGCCCUGAGAGAGGGAGCCCUGAGAUGACUUCUGAGACAUGAGUCCAGGCCCUACGGGGCGGCAGCAGUAGCGAAAACUUCACACUGGCGGAAACCCCGCUGAGGGAAUCCAAGUGCCAGCACAUUGUGUUGGCUGUUCUUUGGUCUAAAAAACCAGAGAACGUAAGGGCCGGGUAAGACGGGUGCCAGCCGCCGCGGUAAUACCCGCGGCCCACGUGGUGGUCGAUAUUAUUGAGCCUAAAACGUCCGUAGCCGGUCUUGUAAAUCCUUGGGUAAAUCGACCAGCUUAACUGUUCGAAGUCCGGGGAGACUGCAAGACUUGGGAUCGGGAGAGGUCAGAGGUACUUCUGGGGUAGGGGUAAAAUCCUGUAAUCCUAGAAGGCCCACCGCUGGCGAAGGCGUCUGACUAGAACGAAUCCGCCGGUGAGGGACGAAGCCCUGGGGCGCAAACGGGAUUAGAUACCCCGGUAGUCCAGGGUGUAAACGCUGCGGGCUUGGUGUUGGGGGUCCUUUGAGGGCGCCCAGUGCCGGAGAGAAGUUGUUAAGCCUGCUGCUUGGGGAGUACGUCCGCAAGGAUGAAACUUAAAGGAAUUGGCGGGGGAGCACCGCAACGGGAGGAGCGUGCGGUUCAAUUGGAUUCAACGCCGG